UAAACGACUCUCGGCAACGGAUAUCUCGGCUCACGCAUCGAUGAAGAACGUAGCAAAAUGCGAUACUUGGKGUGAAUUGCAGAAUCCCGUGAACCAUCGAGUUUUUGAACGCAAGUUGCGCCCGAAGCCUUUUGGCUGAGGGCACGUCUGCCUGGGCGUCACAC
rnacentral:rRNA from 1 species